AUUAUAACUUGUAGAGAUUAAUUAACAGGAAAAAGUUGCUCAUUCCACUAGCUUAUAAAUUUGGCUUCAUUUUGCCACUUUCAAACUAUAACGUACUUAACUUUGAAUUUGAGGGCAGUUUUGAAGGCUUUUAAAUUUAUAACAAAAACGAAUAUUGGAAAUUUUUAAUAUUGCUUAUUUCAUUUCACAGAUUGAGAAGAUGAUUAAAGUGUCAAUAAUGGCGGAGCUACUACAAGAAUAUACGGUGGCGCUGGCAAGGCUUUUACAGCAAAGGCACCAUCUCCGGAAUCAUCGUUUCACGUCUUCAUCGACUUCCUCAUCAUCCUCUCAAGACUCGUCUUCGUUCCUCGUAUAUUUCUAAUUAUGAUUUAUAAUUCAUUCUUCUAUUUGUAUUCUUAAUUUUAAUUAAUUCUUUUGUCGCUAGCUGGCACUUUGAAGAGUGAGGUAUGUAAUUUGACACAAUUUGAAGUUAAUUUAAAUCUUUUGUAUUCAUCCAUCUCCUAGCAUAAUAUAAUUAUAAAGUCUGCAAUUCCAAUGAAUAAUUUUGAUUGAGGUUUUAUGCAUGGUUCAGUUUCUUAUUCUACUGACAAUGAGGACAACUAAAAGCUAAACAGACAAUAAGAAAGCCUUUGAUCAGAAAAACCAUAACAAAACCUGAAGCUGCUUUCCAGUCAUGAUUCCAAUUUACAAAAUAAUUUUCUUCUUUCUUUGUGGUGGUGGGUUACGUUGUUCUGAAAAUGGGAUCUUGUUGUAUAGUUGUUAUUUUUAUCACCUUGAUCUGGAAUUAUAUCACUAGCCUAGUUAACUGAAUCCAUUGCAUCCAUCACAUGAAAUCUUUGCAAUAAGACAAACAACUUGGGACCUUAUCUGUUUGCUAGCAACUGCCUCGAUCUUGUUUUUUGUGACCUAAACAUUGCACCAAUAUGAAAGAAGGGUACAUUGGCAAAGGAUAGAGACUUUAAAAUAUUUGAAGCCUAUUAUGUAUAUUUUAUAUUCUUUAUUUAUAUCAACUUAAAGCAUGUAAUUGGGAUUGCUUUAAAUUGCUAUAUAAGUGAUUUUUUAGCAAUUUAGCACCUAAAAAAUAUUUCAUAAACACUUUUUAAAAUUAUAUUAUUUGAUUAUCAAAUUACUUUCUUUAACACUCAUCUUUAAACUCUUAAGAUAGUAAAAUCGAACUAAGUUGAGUUUGGAAAUUACUAACUCAAAACAAAGAGAUAGAGACUUAAAAAUUCAAAAAACUUGCACUUCAAAGACUAAUGAUAGAUAUCCUAAAAUUUUAUCUCGAAUUCCAUCCCAAAUAAUGUAACAUGUGAUAUACCAUUCAUUAAGUAGUUGAUGAUUUUUCAUAAAUUUUAAGUGAAUAAUUACACUAUUUUACCAAUCAGUGAAUAAAUGCCAUAUUAUUUAAUAUGAUGGAUUUUUGAGAUAAAAUUUUAGGAUGCAUAAACUACUCCCACUUGAAAAUUUCAAAAUAUUAAAAAUUAAACUAGAGUUGCCGCACACAUGCAUGAGCGAGCUUAAGAUUGAAGACAAUUUGAACCACUUGAUUUCCAAUAAAUGCCCAGAAUAUUUCAUCUGUCAUCGAUUUGAAUCAAUGCUCCUAACAUGCAUUUUUGAAUGUUUGUGCAAGAGUUGAGAGCAAUAAGCCUACUUACGGUACAAAGUUUUUAAAGGAGCAAUAAGCCAAUUUAUUAGAUGUUACAUUGAAUUAUCGUGGCAGAGGGUUAUUACAAAGUUUUUAGUAAUUAAUACGCAUUGGUUUUGAUUAUGAAAUUUUUAUAUGCUGACGUAUAAAGGAACCUUUAAUUUGAAACUUCUUACAAUCAAAAUGAAUGAGAAUCCUUGAUUUGUUAUGAUAUUCAAACUCACGUUUAAUAUGCUGGAAAUUUAUUUCUGUUUCCAGAGAAAAACAGAUUUAUAUAUGAAACUAUUUUAUUAUACUUAAGACUUUUUCCAAAUUAUAAAAUUCACUACUACCAAAAGUGAAAACAAUGAUCGUUCUAACCGAAUAAGGCAGCUUUAUUAAAGAGGGGCUAUUUUUAUGAUGGUUUAUAGACUAUAUAUGGUCGUUUUUUCUUUUUAAUGAUGGUUAUUUUACAAGAUCGCCAUUAAUUUCAUAGAUAAAGUUAUAACCAUCAUAUUUUAGUGAGUAUUACGACUAAAUUUAAAGUCAGUUUUAGAAAACGGUCAUCAUACAUACCUUAUUAAUAACGGUUUUUGCAUUAUAAUAAAAUUCCAUAGAACGGUUUUUGUGGUUGAGUAUUUUCAAUGAUAGUUUUCACAUAAUAACAAUAACCUUUGAUGCUUACUACUAUUACUAACAAUAAUAAUCAACCUCAUGUUUCAAUUAUAAUUUUCUAUUAAAUUUUUUACGAUUGUCAUUUUACAAAUAUAUUUCAUAUACUAGUAGCUACAAUAAUAAAAUUGAGAUGUGUAAUCUACUGCAUCUAACUUCUCACCAAUUCUUCAUUUGCAAAUGAAUUUCCAUACCAUUAGCAACCUGCAUCAUUAUUACAAAGAAUAAAGAUAAAUUAAGAUAUUAAAUUCAUAAUUAGUAGUCAUAAUAAUUAAAUCAUUUUGGUAACAUACAUAGUAAAACAAAACUUUAAAGUACCAAAUCACUAUUAUAUGGACUAACCUGGAAUUUAUAUUAAUCAUGCGUUGUAUAUAGCAGUAAGUUGGUGUAAAUGUAGCCCACUCGCAAUUGACUUCAUCGCUCCUUGAAAUGUAGCCUUUUGUCCUACAAAACUAAAAAUGAGGAGUCUAUCAAUUAUGUUGUUCUAAAAUACAAAAAUAACUAUCACAUUUCAAGCGAACUAUAAAAUGAGGAAAUAAAUUAUUUAAAUUCUGGCAUGGUAGAUUGCAAAUUGUACCCGUUUAUUACUUGGAACAAAAAGGGGGAAUUUAAUAUGAGUAUAAAAGAAAAGAACUAAAGAAUUAAAAAAAAAAACACCUAGAAAUUAAAAUGUUUUGUUUUAGGAGUCAAAACAGUAAUGAAACAGCACUUGAAAAUUUCUAGGUGUUGGUUUAGUUGCCAACAUGCAGUGAAAUAACAUCUGAAACUUUCCAAGUGUUUUACAACUUGUCAAAUUGAUCGAACUCCCUAUCACUCUAUAAUAUUCUACUUGAGAUAUACCCUCUUCUCUAUUUUAGAUAGGUGUAAAUCUACAUUUAAAUGAAUUCUAGCCACAAUAAAAUCAUCUUUGUUAAAUUUACCAAGAAUUUUAUUCACAUAAUGUGAUUGACUAAGAAUAAGUCUGUUAUAAAAAGAAUUUAGAUCUAUUAUAAGUGUAGGCAAAAUAAAACAAUAGAUAAAUUAAUUUUCCUAAGUUAUUUAUUCUUUUGGCAUCCUUUAGUCAAAAUAUAAAUUAAGCAAUUUUUCUAUUCUUUAAAUUGUAUGUUAGAAACAAGAUAGACCAUGAGUAAUAACCUAGACAUAGAUCACAGAAACAAAAAACUAACUAAACAAAAAUCAUUAAUCAUCGUUAGUUGAAGAUAAAAAUCUCUUCUAACAAAUAAAUGCUCAUGUCUAAGAUUCAAAAAAUUAACUCUCCCUUUAAGAUAAACAAUCUCAUAUAUUUAGAGAGUAAUAAUGCAUAUCAAAGAACACAAGAUAAUUAAUAAAGAUCAUAUGCUCAUCAAACAAGCUCUCCCUAAGAGAAAGAAUAAAUAAGCUCAAUAAACAUAUAAAUAAAUUCCCUUUUUAUCAUUGAAAUGAAAUUCUAAUAGAGUUUAAAUAAAUAACUACUCUCCCUCUUUUAGAUGCAAUAAAAACAAAAAAAAUAAAAUACAUACUCUCCCCUUUUUUGAAAAAAGGUGUAAAGCACGAUAGACAAUAUAAACGAAAAAUUGAAAUAAGAGGGAAGAAAGCAAAGAAAUCAUCAAGGGUAAUGAAUAGACCUAAUAUCGUCAAGAAUGUGUUCAAUGCGUUUAACUCAAUUUAAUAAAUUUGAAAUCGUCUCGCUUUCUUUGAUCAUUUAAGUGCUGAAGAGUGGAGCGAAUGGUUUGAAGAUAAAAAAUCAUAGUGACCAAAUCUAGGAGAGCAUUCUUAGUUUGGGUUUCUUCAUCUUGAUCACCAACAAUGCCAAGUGAUUUCAACAUAAGAUAGGUUGGUUUAUUAUAAAAAGGAAAACAAGUAAAAACCUCAUCAUUUUCAACUAAAUUAUAAUCCUGAAUGAUGGAUCAAAGAAGGGAAUGGUAACACAUGACUCUCCCAGUAGAUAUUUGCAUUCCUUACAAUCAUAUUAAAAGCCAAGUUGCCAAAGUUGAAUGGAAUUCUGCCUCCAAUUAGCAACAAAACUUUAGCAAAUAAGGGGUCUACUGUACCAUAAUUUUCAACAUGAUAUCAAUUGCAUGCACCAAUCCAAUGUAAACCUUGAUAUUUAGAAGCAAGCUUUGAAACCAAAAGAUCUUUAGGCCAAGGAGAAAACCUGCCUACGAGUAGAGUAGCAAUAGUAGACAUGUCUUAGGAAUCCAUGUGUUCCCAUAUAUGAGUAUCAUCAAAAUCCUUGCACCGAAUUGACGAUUGAUAAAUGAAGGGGAAAACUCCAAGAUACGUCCUCUCACAUAACUUUUAUGGAAAAUCAAGACCUUUAUGCAUAUAGUGGUUCAAAUAAAGUCAUGCAAUAAAAAUAUGAAUAAUGUGUAAACAAAAUGUUGUAGAACACAACUACGUAGAACCAACACCUAAAACUUUUCUUAAGGAAUCAAAUCUAGAUGUAUCCAAAGCUUUAGUAAAAUUAUCCACAAGCUGAUUUUCUGUUUCAAUGCACUCCAAAGAUAUAUUCUCUAAGUCAUAAAUGAAAUGAUGUCUAAUAUCAAUGUACUUAUUUCUAGAAUGCUGGAUAGGAUUCCUUGAAAUAUUAAUAGCACUUGUGUUAUCACAAGAUACUCUAAGAAUAUCCUGAACAAUACUAUAAUCUUCGAGCAUCUACUUCAACCAAAGCAAUUGAGUACAACAACCACCAGCAGUAAUAUAUUCGGCCUUAGCAGUAGAUAAAGAAAUUGAGUUUUUUUUUCCUUACUGUGCCAAGAUACAAGAUUGUUACCAAGGUAAAAACAACCUCCAUUGGUGCUCUUUCUAUCAUCAGAAUUACCUACCCAUCAGCAUCGCUAUAUCAUACAAGACUUGAAUUAGUGUCUUUAAUAUACAAAUUCCAUCAUUAAUCGUUUCAUUUACAAAACGAAUGACACAUUUAAUCGCAUAUAUAUUAGAUUCCUUUAGAUUUGCUUGGUAUCUACCACAAACACUAACACUAGAACAAAUAUCUGAUCUACUUACAGUUAAAUAACGUAAGCUACUAAUCAUAUUUUUGUGCAAAGUUGGAUCAACACUAGAACCACUACCAUCUUUUGUUAAUCUUAAAUUAAUGCUCAUAGGUGUUCUCAUGCAUUUGGCUGGAUCUAGUUUUGCUUUUUCACCAAAUUUUUAGGAUCUUUACUUUGGAAAAUGAAGAUACCAUUUUCAAGUUGUUUAAUUUGUAAGCUCAAAAAAUAGGUUAACUCCCCAAUCAUGCUCAUUUCAAAUUCGUUCUUCAUUUGAUCAACAAACUCUUGAACAUGCAUCAAAGAUGUAGAACCAAAAAUGAUAUCAUCUACGUAAAUUUGAGCAAUCAUAAUUCUAGGAUGAUUUUUAAUAAAUAAAGUCUUGUUUACUCCUCUCUUGUAGCAUUUAUAAAUCAAGGAUUUGGUUAAUCUUUUCCUAGGAGCUUGUUUUAAUCUUUAUAAAUCCUUUUUCAAUUUGAAAACUAAUUAAGAUGAUAUGGAUCUUCAAAGCCUUUGGGUUAUUCAAUAUAAACUUUUCCAUUCAAAAUUUCAUUCGAGAAUGCACUUUUAACAUCCAUUUGAAAUCAUUUAAAGCAUAUUAAACAAACUACAACAAGUAAUAGCCUAAUAGACUCUAGUUUAGCCACAAGAAUAAAGAUUUAAUCAAAAUCAACACUUUCAAUUUGUGUAUAACCUUGUGCUAUUAACCUAGCCUUAUUUCUCACUACAUUACAAUAUUCAUCUGUUUUAUUCUUAAAAAUACAUUUUGUACCAAUAACAUUAAUGUGAUUUAGUCUAAGAACUAAUGUCCAAACAUCUUUACGCUCAAAUUGUUGAAGUUCUUUUUGCAUAUCUUAAGCCAAAAUUCAUCCAAUAAAGCUUCCUUAUCAUUUUUUGAUUCAAUUAAUGGGAUGAAACAAUUAAAUCAAGCAAGAUUUGUACACAAUUUUCUAGUGACUAUGGAACUUUCUGGACUAUCAACAAUAAGAUCCGAUGGGUGGUUCUUUACAACUCUUGAAGAUGGUCCUUUCUUGACUUGAUCAUGAACAUCAAUUUUUAUCUGAGGUUUUAUAUUUUUUUCCUUAUUAUUUUCUUGAGACAACUGGGAAGAAUUAUCAUUUAUCAAAUCAAUCAUUUGACUUUGAUCUUUGGAGUUCGAUUGAUUGGGUUCUUGUUUUGUAAGAGUUUGGCCAUUUGUUGUAUUACCAUUUAAAUUAAACUUUUCUUUAGUCUCAAUGUACUUGAUAUUUUUUUCUUCAAUGAAAAAUUCUAUAAAAAUCUUUAAAAUCAUCAAUAACAACAUUCACAUAUUCCAUAAUAAUUUGAGUCCUCAUAUUCUAAACACAAAAAGCUUUACUAUUAGUAUAAUAACCAAGAAAAACACCCUCAUAUCUUUUUGAGUCAAACUUACUCAAGUAUUCACGAUCUUUCAAGAUAUAACAUGUAUUACCAAAGAUGUGAAAAUAACUUAGAUUAAGUUUCUUAUCUUUCCACGAUUCAUAAAAAGUUUUCUUAGUGCCUAGAUGCAAGUUCUUAUAGUUAAUGACAUGUAACAUUAAAGAGAGUAGAGGGACCAAAGACUGAUCUUGAUGGUUAAGCUUUUGUAGCUCAUGGUAAUAAGCAAUAAGGAGAUAGACGAGGAGGCAAACAAAGGUCAUAAUGUGAUAAUUGUUCGAAAUCGUGGCAUACAUGAGAAAGCUGUUGGAAACUCCAUAGAAAACCUGCAAAUUGGAAAAAGAAAUCAGGUGGUAAUGCUCGGCCAAUAGGAGAUGCUCGCGCUUUCUAGGCUAGCACCACUAAUCUAGAGCAGUAGUCAUCCUCAGAAUCUCUUUUUUUUACUAAGGAACAAAUGAAGCACCUAUACAAGAUGUUUCAAUCCUAAUCCAUAAGAAAUUCUAGUUCAUCUUGUUCUUUAGCCCAAUCAAGUAAUUUUUUCACCACAGCUUUUACUUGUAUCAAUCUAAACACGUCUUGGAUAUUAGAUUCUGGAGCAACUGCUCAUAUGACUGGGUCCUCGCAGUUGUUUUUUUCUUAUUCACCUUGUGCAAAAAAUCAAAAGGUUAAAAUAAUAGUUGGUUCUUUAGCAACUGUCGUAGGGAAAGGAAAAAUUCUUAUUUCUCCUCUUUUUACUUUAAAAGGUGUUCUUCAUGUCCACAUUUAUCCUAUAAUCUUUUGUCUGUCAGUAAAUUAACUUGUGAUCAUAACUGUCAAAUUAAAUUUUGGUCUUCUCAUUGUAAAUUUCAGGAUUUAACCUUGGGGAAAAUGAUUGGGGAUGCUAGGCAAGACAGUGGCCUCUACUUCUUUAAUAAUGGUUCGAACUUUGGAAGGGAAGAGCGGUAGACUUGUUAUGGUAUUGAGAUUAUGUUAUGGCAUUUGCGAUUAGGACAUCCAAAUUUUUAAUAGUUAAAGAAGUUAUUACCCAAAUUAUUCAUGAAUAAAAAUGCUUCUAUUUUUCGAUGUGAAUUUUGUGAAUUAGCUAAAUAUCAUCGUGCUAUUUUUCCACCACAACCAUACAAAAAAUCAAAACCAUUUACUAUGAUUCACAAUGAUGUAUGCGAUCCUUCUAGAGUGACAACUUUUUUCUGGAAAAUGCUGGUUUAUUACAUUUAUUGUUGAUUAUACUAGAGUUACCUGGUAUUUUUACUAAAAGAUAAAUCGAUGCUGAAAGUGUGUUAAAAUUUUUAUACUAUGGUACAAACAUAAUUUCAGACUUAGAUUAAAAUUUUUUGAAGUGCUAAUGGCUAAGAGUUUUUUAAUCAUGUGUUAGGGAAUUUUUUUUAUAAGAAAGGAAUUAUACAUCAAAGUUUUGUAGCAAUACUCUUUAACAAAAUGGAGUGGCUAAAAGGAAGAAUAAGCAUCUCCUCGAAGUUGUUAGGGCCUUGAGCUUUACAACUAAAGUUCCAAAGUAUCUUUGAGGAUAAGCUGUUUUGACAGCCACAUUUUUUAUAAAUAGAAUGCCUACAAGAGCUUUGGGGUUUAAUACACCAAUAAAUAUUUUCAAUGAAUGUUUUCCAGUUUCAAGGUUAAUAACAAGUAUUCUCUUAAAAUUUUUUAACAAUGUUACUUUUUUUAAUGACCAUGACUCUAGAAGAACAAAACUUGAUCCAAAGGCACAUAAAAGUAUUUUUGUAGGCUAUCUUACAAAUAAAAAAGGUUAUAAAUGCUUUGAUCCAGUUUGAAAAAAAAAAUGUUUAUUUCUAUGGACAUCACUUUCUUUGAAGGACAAUCAUGCUAUUACAAUUUUCAUUUUGAGGGGGAGAAAACACAAUAGUGAAAAUGAUAUGUUUUUAAAUGAUUCUAACUUAGUCAUUGAAUUUGAUUGUAUUAAUAAUGAUGUUUUGCCAGAAGAAAAUGAGAAAGGGAAUACAAAUGAAUUAACUGUUGAAAAUUUUAGACAACUUUCGUUAACGCCAUCACAAAACCAAAAUGCUAGAAUGUCAACGCUGUGUACGAAACAGUAUAAAGGUCCUGUGUAUUCAAAAGAAUACCUAGAACAAAAAAAAGAGAGGAACAUGAUCCUAUAGCAUUACCAAGAAUCUGACCCGAGGUUGGAUAAUGAAAAUCCUAACAAGAAUCUUCUAAGUAAUUAUAAGCUAAAUUCCUCAAAUUUAGAUGAUCUUCUUAUUGCUCUUAGAAUAAAUGUUAGGUCCUGUACUAAUCAUCAUUUGUCCAUCUUUAUUUCUUGUAACAAUGUGGCCCCCUCCUUUUGUGCUUUCAUUUCACGCAUCUCUAGUGUGGUUAUUACAAAUAAUAUACAAGAAGGUCUAAAGGUUCCUGAAUGGAUGAAAGCUUUUUUUGAGAAGAUGAGAGCUCUAGAGAAGAAUACUUAUUAGAAAAAGGUUGAUCUGCGACAAGGAAAAGUUGUUGUUGGUUGUAAAUGGGUAUUCACCAUGAAAUAUAACUUUGAUGGCUCCUUAGAAUGAUACAAGGCUCGACUAGUACCUAAAGGCUAUACACAAACCUAUGGAAUAGAUUAUUCUACAAAUUUCUCUCCAAUGGCGAAAUUAAACAAUGUUCAUGUUCUUUUGUUAGUUUCUGCAAAUCGUGAUUGGUCUCUAAAGUAGUUAGGUGUUAAGAAUGCUUUCCUCAAUGGUGAUCUUGAAGAGGAAGUCUACAUGGAGGCUCCACCUAGGUUUACUAAGAAUUUUGGAUCCAAAGUAUGUAGACUUAAAAGAUCGUUACAUGGUCUUAAACAGUCACCUAGAGCUCGGUUUGAGAGGUUUACAAGUUUGUGAAGAGUCAAGGCUAUAGUCAAGGAUAGGUGAAUCAUACUCCAUUUAUAAAAAUCUCUUCCAAAGACAAGCUCUCAAUUUUGAUCAUUUAUGUAGAUGAUAUAAUUCUAACAAGAGAUGAUACAGAAUAAAUGAGCAUAUUAAAGUAGGGUUUAGCCAAGGAGUAUAAAAUAAACGAUUUAGAGCAAUUGAGAUAUUUCUUGGGAAUGGAAAUUGCGAGAUCAAAGAAAGGUAUAGUGGUGUCACAAAGAAAGUAUACCUUGGAUCUCUUGAAAGAAAAUGGUAUGAGUGGGUGUAAGCCAGCUGAUACUCCAAUAGACAUAAAUAUGAAGCCUGGAGAAGUGAAAGGAGGAGUUCAUAUGGAUGCUGGCAGAUAUCAAAGGUUAGUUGGGAAGUUGAUUUAUGUAUCUUAUACUUGACCUGAUAUAGCUUUUGUUAUGAGUAUGGUAAGUCAGUUUAUGCAUUCUCCUUAGGAGGAACAUCUUGAAGCUGUAUUUCGAAUUCUUUGUUAUUUGAAAGCAACUGAUGCAGAUUGGGUAGGUUUGAUCAAUGAUAGAAGAUCAACAUCUGGAUACUGUACUUUUUUAUGGGGUAAUCUGCUUACUUAGAAGAGCAAAAAGCAAAAGGUUGUUACCAGAAGCGGUGUAGAAAUUGAAUUUCGUUCGAUGGCCCAAGCAGUGUGUGAAGUACUUUAGUUAAAAUGGGUUUUAAAAAAACUCAAACUGUCAUUUAAUCUCCCAAUGACGUUCUAUUGUGAUAACAAAUAGGCUAUCGGUAUAGCUCAUAAUCUGGUGUUACAUGACAGAGCAAAUCAUGCUAAGAUUAAUAGACAUUUUAUAAAAGAGAAGCUUGACGAAGGGAUAAUUUGUACUCCUUUUGUUCCCACUAUGAAACGACUUGUAGAUAUCUUCACUAAGAGCUUAAUUAGACAACCAUUUGAACUUCAAGUUAGCAAGUUGGGCAUGAUUGAUAUCUUUGCGCCAACUUGAAGGGGAGUGUCGAUAAUUUAGGGAUUCUUAGCUAUUUGUUUGCCAUUUGAAUAAAAUAGGAAAAUACCAUAAAUUAGGAAAGUAGAUAAAUUCUGAUUUUAUGAUCUUAAAAUUAGCCCUAGAAUUACUAUCUAGUUUUUCUAUUUAUUUCUAUCGAUCACUGUCUUUGAAUAAGAGAAAGAAUUUUAUAUCUUUGUAUCUUUGUUUACUUUUUUCUUUUUGCUACACUCUUUGUCUCUCUGUUUACUUUUUUUCUUUUUGCUACACUAAGUACUUUUAAUAACAUGUCUAAUCUUCUUAAUUGUUUCUCCACAGAUAUGAUUGAAUGAUUUAUCCUUGUCAUGCAUCAUGUGAGUGAACAAGCUCUUAUAUAUGUUUAUUUGGAUGAAUGAUUGAUCUUUAUUGCCAUACGAUUGAGAAUGAAUGGUUAACUACUUUUUCAUUAUGAUUUAUUGAUUGUAGUUUACCCUCGCUUAUGACUUAUAGCAUUUAAACUUUUAGAGUGUAGCUUUAAAUGCCGGGGCUAAUCUUGUUUCAGCUAACUUAUAUUGAUAACUACUUAAGAGCUGUGAAUAUGAACAAAUUGCCAAUAUAGAGGUACCUUAAUAAGGUUACUUAUCUAGGGGAUUGAGAACUCCUCUCACAUAAAAUCUAUGUGCAGCUCAUAUAUCAAUUACCAGAGCUAGCUAAGUGUAGCUUAGCUAUCAUCGCCAGAGCUGAGUGCAGCUCAAUAUUGAAAUCACCAGAGCUGAGUAUGUUAACAUUAAUAUUUCCAUAACAUUGUUUUUUAUGAUAACAAACUGUAUUAACAAAGUUGGAGUCUUUAAAUGAUCAAUUUUUAGAUCGUAUGAAGUUUUUUAGACAUGAAUAAGAUUCCGGAAAUAAAUGGAUAACCUUUAAUCCUAAGUUGGAAAAUUGUUUUCUAAAGGAAGUUUUAUAGUUUUUAUUCUGGAAGAUAAUGAUGAACCAUUUAUUGGAAAAUAGUUAACCAAUAAAUUCCAGAGAGAAAUUAGUUUCCAAAAGGUAAACUGUUUAACACAAACGACUAGCUGAUAAGUAUCAUAUAUGUCUUUGGAAUUAAAAAGCAAACCGCAAACUCCAAAUAGUGAACUAAUUAUUCAAAAUUCUACAUAACGAUAACUUGCACAAAGUCAAAACGGUGAUCCGAUAAUAGUAAACGAGGUCUGAUUAUGCUUAGAAAGUCAACAAUGACUAGUUUUCUGCUUCAACUGUGAAAAGACUCAAUCAAAUUCAAAUCAUAAUGAUUCUACAAUCAUCAUUGAGCUUGUUAUUGCGCAACCAAUCUCUCUUGUGCUUAAAAUUUGUUAGUUUUUCAUUAAAUCACAUUCUGAGCUUUUGUUUGUAAAUAAAUAUAUUGUGUGAACAAAAAUUUGUGUAAUUUUAAUUUUAAACAUCAAAUUGAGUAUUUGAAAGUGUGGGAAACAUUUCGGUUAAAAGGUUUGGGAUAAUAUUUGAUUGUAAAAGUUGAUUGACAUCCUAGAACUCAAUUGUAAAGAUUUUGAAGCCUUAUAGUGUAAUGCUUGAUUAGUGGAAUCAUCAAGCUCGAUGAGCUUGGAGGUAUGGACGUAGGUGAGUUUGUUAUUUCCUUUUUCCCUUACCUCAAUUGUGAAAAUCUCGUGUUCGAUUCUCUUUCCCUUACCUCUUCAUAUUUUGAUUGUUAUGAUUUAUUUGUUAUUUGUAUAAUUUUAUUUGAUAUUUGUAUUGAGUUUUGUUUUGAUUUUUCUAUAAUUUUUAGAAACAAAAUUCACCCCCUCUUAGGUUGCUUAGCCAGUAUUUCAUUCGGUAUUAGAGCAAGGUUCUCUUAUUUGGAUUUAAUCGUCUAGAAUAAAAGAUCCAUGACAACUCAAAAUGAUUCCACCUUUAGGGAAGGUCAGUCCGCUACUAGACCACCAUUCUUUGAUGGAAAUGACUACGCUUAUUAGAAAAUGAGGAUGAUAAUUUACUCGUAAGCACUAGAUUAUGAAAUUUGGGAAGUUGCUUGUGAUGGUCCAUUCAUGUCUAUAACUAAAAAUGAAGUAGGGGAAGAUAUUCCAAAACCUUCACGUAAAUGAAAUGAUUUGGAAAAAAAGAAAAGCUUCUCUUAAUUCCAAAGUCAUGAAUGCUUUAUUUUGUGCUUUAGAUAAAAAGGAAUUUAAUAGAGUUUUAGGUUGCUCUAAUGCUUAUGAAAUUUGGAGGAAGUUAGAAGUUGUUUAUGAAGGAAUAAACCAAGUUAAAGAGUAUAAAAUUAGUAGAUACACUAGGCAAUAUGAAUUAUUCUAAAUACAAAAAAAAUGAGAGCGUACAUUCAAUGUAUACUAGAUUUAUCGUAAACAUUCUAGGAGCUCUAUGAAAGACCUUUUUCAAAUAGUGAGAAAGUAAAAAAAAUCAUUAAGUCCUUGCCAAAAGAAUGGAGACCGAAAAGAACUACCAUUAAGGAAGCCAGGGAUUUAGAUACUUUAACUAUUGAUCAUUUAAUUGGCUCACUUAUUUCUUAUAAAGAAGAUUUGGCAGCUGAAAGAGGUGACAAAGAUAAAAAGAAGACAAACAUUGUCCUCAAAGCUUCAAGAUCGGAAAGCGAUAAAGAAAGCGAAAUUGAAGAUGAAGAUAUGGCUAUGAUAGCUAGAAAAUUCAGGAAGUUAUUUGCAUAAUUUUAUUUGAUAUUUGUAUUGAGUUUUGUUUUAAUUUCUCCAUAAUUUUUAGAAACCCAAUUCACCAGAGCUAGUUGAGUGCAACUGCUAUCAUCGCCAGAGCUAGCUGAGUAUAGCUCAACUAUCAUCACUACGGCUAUGUAUUACUCAUAUACGAAAUGAACAAACCUGAGAAAGAGCUGGGCUGCAAAAUCUAGAAUACUUAAGAAGUUCGUUAGUGAUCAAAGGAGUGAUUUAACAGUAAGUUUCCACGAGUCCCUCAUAUAAAACUUUUUCUUUGAGUUUCUUGUGCUUCAGUUCUUUCACCACAAGAAACUAAGGCAUCUUGCACGAGGGGGAAAUAUAGGUGCUAACAUAGGCCAAUAACUCAAUGACACGUGGUAAGAAAAAUCAUUCAAGUGAAGUCAACUUGUUUUGACCAAUUGGCAGUAUAGCUCACAGGAGCUUAAGAGAUAAGCUCCCAAAAGGAAAGGCAGCCUUGAAAUUACAUGCAAUAUCAAAAGGUAUUAUCGAAACCUAGAGUUUUGGUGGUUAAAGGUCGCACAUAAACAAUGCAGGCCAUUGAUAAAAAAUAUCUUCCUUUUAGGUAGGACUAAAAAGCCAAUAGGAAUAAGAAUUCUUUAAGAAAAAUAAUAGAAGGAGACCACGUCAGAUGUCCUUUGCUAUCUCUAGAAAGCAAUAGAACCAUACGCCACAGUAUAAAUAUUGGAGGCAAAAGGCAAGCUCGAGGUUUCCUUGCCUCCCAAGCUCAUGGAUGUCACAAGGCAAAUUACUCUAAUAGCCUCACCGUAGGCAACCUCGUCAUUAAAUAAGUGCCACAUGUCUAAAAUUAUUGUAAUACACUUAGGAACACUCCUAUAUAAGCUUCACAUGUUCACAUUUGAGUGGGCUCUCUCUAUUGCUAGCUCUAUCUCUCUCUUUUUGUUCUAUGCAACCCUAGGCCCUUUUUGAAGAUAUGAUUUUUUGAAAGGCUGCUUCAAUUUCUUCUCCCUCUAUUUUUAUACCUUCAUAAAAGAUCUUGAGCACCUCAUCUUUCAAAUAACUCUUCAAUUAUUCUUCUUUUAGAAAACUCUCUAACCUCCACAGACCUAUAUUUCCUUCAUUUUAAUAUCCACCAUAAACAACCUAUAUUAAGGUUUUGUUGAUAUUGUGGAGCAAAUCAUGUAAUACUUCAUUUAUAGAGUAGAUUGGAGAUGAGCUACUCCCAUGGAUAUAGGCCAAAGUGUUAAAUCACAUAAAACUUUUAAUUCUCUUUUUUUUUUAUGUUAUUUUUUGCUUAUUAUGAUAGUUUUGAAACCUAGAUCAUAUUUUGUAUAUGAGUGCACAUGAGUUAUCUUACAAGCUUUAUAAAGUUAAUCGAAUAAGCUUUUUAGAGCUAUCCUCGAAGCUCCCUUAAACUUCCCAUAUCAACUCUCUCAGCUAAAUCCCAUGAGCUCCAUAGAGCUCACCUCACAAAACACGAUAGUUCACCUUCCAAAUCAGCUCAGUUUACCUUCUUAAGUCACCGGAACUUGCCUCCCAAAUCACCUCAGCUAUACGUGUUUCCCGAAACAACAUAAAUACAUACUAGACCUUUACUAGCCAUUCUCCCUCUAAAAAUAUAAAUUUUAUUCGUUUUAAUUGGAAUUGACCUAGAUUUAGUGGAACGAACAACUUAAUGAUUCGAAUCAAAUCUUUGUGUUAAAUCUAAUAGAAACCUCACUUGUUCACUACCAUGACUUAAUUUACUUUAAAAAGCUCGUUGAUAUCUACAUGAUAGCAAAGAGAUUUCAAAAUCUAUUCUUAUGAAACACAUGCUAGUCAUGUAAUAAUUAUGAUUUGAGCUAUUUUCAUUUGGAUAGAUCUUAUGAAAAGUACUACUUGUUUACUCUAAGUACUUAUGAUAACAUGUCUAAUCUUUUUAAUUGUUGCUCCAUGGAUGUGUUUGAAUGAUUUACCCUUGUCAUGCAUUAUGUGAGUGAACAAGAUCUUAGAUAUGUUAUUUGGAUGUAUAAUUGAUCUUUGUAGCCAUAUGGUUAAGAAUGAAUGGCUGAUUCUUUUUUUUAUUAUGAUUUAGUGAUUGUAAUUUAACUUCACUUAUAACUCAUCGGGUUUAAACUCUUAGAGUGUAGCUCUAGAUACUGGGGCUAAUCUUCUUUUAACUGACUUAUAUUGAUAACUACUCAAGAGUUGUGAAUAUGAACAAACUGCCAAUAUAGAGGUACCUUAGUAAGUUUACCUACCUAGGGGAUUGAGACCUUCUCUCCCCUAAAAUCUAUGUAUAUCACCAUGAGUUAUCGCCAUGUUUCAUAGCCACGUGCAGCUUAGAUAUCAAUCGCCAGAGCUAGAUAAGUGUAGCUUUACUAUCAUCAUCGGAGCAAAGUACAACUCAAUAUUGAAAUCACCAGAGUUGAGAGCUCAAGUACUGAAACUGUCAGAGCUAGCUAAAUGCAGCUCAGCUAUCAGGCACCAGAGCUGAGUAUAGCUUAGUAUUAAAUGGCCAGAGUUAAAUAUUGCUCAAGGAUUGAAAUCGACAGAACUAGCUAAGUGCAACUCAACUAUCAAUCACCAAAUAUGAGUAUAGCUUAUUUAUCAAUCGCCAGAGCUAGCUGAAUGCAGCUCAGUUAUCAUCGCAGAGCUGAGUAUGGCCUAAGAAUUGCAAUCACUAGAGCUAGCUAAGUGUAGCUUAACCACCAUCACUAGAGUUGACUAUUGCUCAUAUACAAAAUGACCAAACCUAAGAGAGAGCUCAGUUGCACAAUUUAGAAUAUCCAAAAAGCGCACUAGUGAUUAAAGGAGCGAUUGAACAACAAGUUGCCACGUGUCCCUCAUGCAAAAUUUUCUCUUUAGAUUUCUUAUGCUCAAUUCUUUCACCAUAAGAAACCAAGGGGAUCUUAUUUAACGGGAAAUCUGGGUGCUAACAUGGACUAAUAACUCAAUGACAUGUGGCAAGGAAUGAUAAUUAAAUGAAGUUAGCUUGUUUGACGAAAGGACAAUAUAGCUCACAGGAGCUUAUGAGAUAAGCUCCCAAAAAAAAAAAGAAGGUAAUUUUGGGAUUACAUGGAACAUCAAAGGGCAUUAUUGAACCCAGAUUUUUGGCUGUUAGGGGCCGCACAUGAACAAUGAAUGCUAUCAUGUAAGAAAUAAAAAAUAUAUUCUUUUUGACUAAGAGUAAGGAGCCAAUAAGAAUAAAAAUUCUUUGAGCAAAACAAUAGGGGACCAUGUCAGUUGUCUUUUACUAUCCUCCAAAAAGCAAGAGAACCACAAGCUGGAAAAGGUACCACGUGUACAAUAUUAGAGGCAAAAGGGUGGCAAGAGAUUUCCUUACUUCCCAAGCUCAUGGAUGUCACCAUCAAAGGAUCACAAGACAAAUUACCCGAAUAGUCUUACAUUAGGGAAGCUAGCCAUUAAGUGAGCACCACAUGUCUAAAGUUAUCAAAAUACCCUAAGGAACACUCUUAUAUAAGCUCUACAUAUUCAAUCUUAAGGGGGCUCUUUCCAUCACUAGCUCUAUCCUUCUCCUUUUGCUUUAACCAACCCUGGGCAUUUUUUUCAAAAUCUAAAUUCUUGAAAGGCUGCUUCAUCUUUUUCACCCUCCAUUUUUAUACCUCCAUUACAUAUUUUCGCCAUCUCAUCUCUCAAAAAAGCUCCUCCAUUAUUCUUUUAUUGUAAAACUCUCUAAUCUCAACGGACCUACAUUUCCCUCAUAUUUUUUUUUUCACUAAACACAACUUUUAUUAAUGUUUUGUUGAUAUUGUCGAGCAAAUAAUGUAAUAUUUCAUUUAUAUAGUGGAUUGGAGAUGAGCUAUUCUCGUGGAUGUAGGCCAAACAACUGAACCGUAUAAAAUAUUUGUGUUCUUUUUUGUUUAUGCUCAUUUUCUACUUAUUAUGAUGGUUUUCAUACCUAGAUCAUAUUUCAUAUUUAAGUUCACAUGAGUUAUCUUACAAGCUCUAUGGAGUAAAAUAGAUAAGCUUUUUAGAGAUAUCCUUGAAGCUUUCUUGAGCUUCCCACAUCAAUUCUCUAAGCUAAAUCCCAUGAGCUUACUUCACAAAACACAAUAGUUGACCUUCCUAAAUCAUCGCAGCUCACCUCCCAAAUCACCUCAGCCAUACCUCAUAUGCCAAAUAGCAAAAAUACAGACUAAACCUUAUUAUCUUUUGAGUGGAUAUUAUAACAGAUGUAGCCCUUUUUUUUUAUUAAAGAACAUCCAAAGCAUACAUAGCUGGCCACUCGAGGAUUCAAUUUAUUGGGGUGUAUAGCUUGUUGAUGAACAUAACAAACACAACCAAAUACUCGCAAAUGAGAAAUUUUUGGCUUCUGAAUUUUUAGGACUUCACUAAAGGAAAAUAGGCAAUAGAUGAUAGCAAAUAAUUGUCAUAAAAUGGAGUGCAUAAAAAAUAGUUUUUUAGUCAUCUAUGUCACUGUCAUUAAUUUAUGACAAAAAAUUGUCCGUCAUGAAUUCAUGAUGGUUUUUUGUUGUCAUAUAUCCAUCACACAAUAUUUUAAUUGGAAAAAAUAAUUUAAAUUCAAAUUCAAAUUAAUUUAAAUUUUCGUACCAUUUUUUAAAAUUUUGGCGGGAAAUUCUAUCACCAUUUGUAAAUUUAUUAUUGAAUUUUGUUGGGAAAUUAUUUAUGACAAAAUUUAUGAUGGAUAUUUCCCAUCAGAAAUUAAUAUUUUUAAAAAAUUAUAUUAUUAUUAGAAUAAUUUGUUGAUAAAUUCAUGUUUAUUAAUAAAACAAAUAUCAUAAAAAUAAAACCAGAAAACAAUUAAUAUUACUCAACAUUCUUUCAAUCCAACAACUUAAUUUCAAAAGAAAUACAUAAAAAGUCCAAUGUGAUACAUAGUAAAACAUCUCAAAUUUAAAAACAUCUCAAAAUAUAAAAUGACUAUUAAAUUCCAAUGCUUCUACAACAAAAGCAACUAAAAUUCCAGCCACCAAGCCCAAUUUCUCAACAAAACUUUUAAAGAUUAAUGCAAGACUUCCAGGGUUCCAACACUCUUAACUCCAGCCACCAAGCCAAGUUUCUUAACACUCUAAUUCCAGCCACGUACCCAACAAUACUCCAACUCAUAUCCAGCAACCCACCAUCUUCCAAUAGCACUCUAAUUCUAGGCACAUACCCAGCAACAAUCCAAUUGAAACCCAACAAACCAGUUUAAGUAAAUAAGUCAAAAUAUUCAAUGUUAUCAAAUGCAUAACAUCUACACUAGAAUCCUUAACAGCAACCAUUAUAAUUUGAUACUACAAAUUCAAUUUGUAACAACUAAUAUUUAUAGUUUCAAACUCAAACUCAUGCAAUGAGGAUGUCAAAAAAAUAGUUAGCCCACUCCAAACGAACCUCAUCUAAUUCAUUCUGAGUGUAUGCUUUCGUUCCAUUAAACUAUUAAUCGUAAGAAUUAAUAUUGUCAAACUUCAAAAAUAAUGACACAUCAUCAACUUACAUUCUUUGAUAACGAACUAACAUUUGCUAUUAUUUCCUUUAUGUACCUUAAUACAUAAUAGCUACACUGUUAAUUUUGCAAUAUUUUGUUUCGAAGCCCUGUUCAUGAAGAAAAAAAAGAAAAAUCUUCUUGCAAAACACAUUCAUUUUAGUUAAGGUAUGUAAUCAGUAAGCUAUAAAGUUUUUUUUUUUUUUUUACCUUCACAAUUCUCAUCUUAGAAUUAUAAUUCUAUUUUUCCUUACCAUCCUCUGAUGUGAAGAAUGCCAUGGCGCUGUAUGAAAAACUAAAUUGUUGUCUCGUAAUCAUAUUGAAGAAACUUAAACUAUCAAUGGCAGGAAAUGGAUUGGCAUACAUACAUUUUUAGGACUGGACUGCAUAGGAUCCACAUAAAACACUUCUUUUUUCACCACAUUAAACACAACUAAUACCUAGUGGUAGAUACAAAAGGAGAAGGCAAAAAAAAAAAAAAAAGGUCAAAGGCAAAACCAUGAAUUAAGAAACAACUGUAAAAGCUAUAUGAAUUCAGAAGUAGUUGUAAAAGUUUUAGAUGAAAAUUAAAACUUCUGAAGGAUUGUAUAGCAUGAGAAUGAGUUGUCUGUUUUUGGCCUUUUUCGAGUGGUCUUGAAUAUGCUUAACUCUCUUUGAGUGAAAUCUUUUUGCAGUGUUUGGAUUUGUUGGGCAAACCAAACUUUGACACAUGAAUCCGAAUGGUUGUAUUUCUUUUCUGGUUAGCAGAGUGGUAGAAUCCAACAUCCUUAACAAAAAAUCAGUGCAUCAAUAAAAAAUUAUACCAAAUUGGUAUUAAAUAGUGUAAAAGAAAAUCAUAAAACAACUUACGCCAUAUGUACUUGAAUAGCAUUCACUCCUAGCGUUUGCAUUGACAACAGAUCAUUGCAAUCUUUCUUCCCAAUAUAAGCACAAGCAUCUCUUUAGAAUACAUUAUCAUCAAUAAUAUAUGUCAGAACACUAUCAUUUUCACCAAGUAAAUAUUUUUGACACAACUUCCCAAAUAAUUGCAACAUCAAAUGACUAUUCUGGUGCUUGAGUUUUGUACUCCUUAUGUUUCUCAUAGGCUGCACUACAAUGUUUUUGGCUUUAUUCUUCUUCAAAAGUUCCUUUUUUGGUUGGCUGUCGGGAUGAAUCUCGCGUAUACUAUCAGCAUAGUCAAACUCCAAUUGUUUUUUACUGUCUCCAACUCUUUUCCUUUGAUCAUUUGCAUAAUCCUUUGGAAUUGAAGGAUUUAGUCUUGGACUUUUCCUCAAAAUGGUUGUAGUAGCGUUUCUAAGCGACUUGCCCAAAUUAUCUAGCUCCUGUGAAUAUUAAUUAUAUGAACUAGUAAGUUUAUUAAACUAGAUUGAAUAGUAUAUACACAAGGAAGUAAGCAUAUUAAACCAAGAAAAAUACAGCUAAUUUUAUAAAUAAACUAACUUUCUGUGCAUCUUCUUCACUAUCAUUAUCGAAAUCAUCAUUUUGGCUGACUUUAUCGAAAUGGCAGAAGACUUCAUUGAAAUGGCAGCAAUAGUGUUUUUUGGUGUCUCUUCUCUCUUUUAAUCUUCUCCCCAUUUUCUCAAUGUUGAUGCUUUAGGUUGUUCUUCCUUUUGACUAGACUUUCAUUUCCUCUUCUUCUCAGCUGACUUGCCCAAAUGAUCCAGCUCAUGUCGGCAUUAUCAGUAAAAGGUAAGUAAAUUAAAAUGUAUUAAGUGGGAGAUAUACAAGGAAAAGUAUCUUAAACCAAGAAAAAAUUAGUUAAUUUUAUAAAUAAAAUAACCUGAUGUACAUCACCCUCACUGUCAUUAUCAUUGACUUUAUUAUAUGGGAAAGUGGAACUUCCUACAUCUGAAUGGCGAGGUGUCCUCUUUAAUUCUCUAAAAAUUUCUUACAACUAAUCAUCAACUGAUUUUUUCAAAGUUCCAGGUCCCCCUCUCUCUCACUUCAGAUAGGUCCACGAAUGGUAUGAAAGUACAUAGAAGCAUAUAUAAAUUUGCCCAGCCAUUGCAUAUGAUCAAUUCGAGAAAGCUUUCCCAAUACUUGUGCAAGUAAGUCAUUUCUUGCAUCCGAAGUCAAAGAGUCUUUUUAGUCCUCCUUUAGCUUUUCCUAACACCCCACUAUAAAGAAACUAAUAUAAUUAAAUAAGAAUAAAUCUAAAAUAAUAACAAUUUUUGUUCUAGUUAAACUUGAUUACCAAUUUCUUAUUGACUUGUUAAGUGUCAAGGUCGUAUUCUCCAUCCUUUAGCAUCCGAGCUCUCUUUCAUAGCUCACUCCUAUCAAUUAAGUCUUUAGAAAGACUCAAUUCUGCACUGGCUACUUCGAUAAAGAAAUUAAAUUGGUUAACUAGAAAAAAAUUUAAUAGUUAAAAAUACCCUUUAUAUCGAUAUAUAUACACUUACAAUUUCUUUCAUUAAUCCUACAUAUCCUUUUCGACUAAGGUGGUGAUAAUACAUGUUCAAAGCUCA
rnacentral:lncRNA from 1 species